CCUACGGGUGACAGCAGUGGGGAAUAUUGGGCAAUGGGCGCAAGCCUGACCCAGCAACGCCGCGUGAAGGAUGAAGGCCUUCGGGUUGUAAACUUCUUUUCUCAGGGACGAAGCAAGUGACGGUACCUGAGGAAUAAGCCACGGCUAACUACGUGCCAGCAGCCGCGGUAAUACGUAGGUGGCGAGCGUUAUCCGGAUUUACUGGGUGUAAAGGGCGUGUAGGCGGGGUGGCAAGUCAGUUGUGAAAAUCACGGGCUCAACCUGGGACCUACAUUUAAAACUGUGGGACUUGAGUGCUGGAGAGGCAGACGGAAUUCCUAGUGUAGCGGUGAAAUGCGUAGAUAUUAGGAGGAACACCAGUGGCGAAGGCGGGCUGCUGGACAGCAACUGACGCUGAGGCACGAAAGCGUGGGGAGCAAACAGGAUUAGAUACCCCAGUAGUC
rnacentral:rRNA from 1 species